rnacentral:rRNA from 1 species
CCUACGGGGUGCAGCAGUGGGGAAUAUUGGGCAAUGGAGGAAACUCUGACCCAGCAACGCCGCGUGAAUGAUGAAGGUCUUCGGAUUGUAAAGUUCUUUUCUAAGGGGAGAAGAACGUGACGGUACCUUAGGAAUAAGCCUCGGCUAACUACGUGCCAGCAGCCGCGGUAAUACGUAGGAGGCAAGCGUUAUCCGGAAUGACUGGGCGUAAAGGGUGCGUAGGUGGUUCAGCAAGUUAGUAGCGUAAUUCCGGAGCUCAACUUCGGCACUACUACUAAAACUGUUGGACUUGAGUGCAGGAGGGGCAACUGGAAUUUCUAGUGUAGCGGUGGAAUGCGUAGAUAUUAGGAAGAACACCGGUGGCGAAGGCGAGUUGCUGGACUGUAACUGACACUGAGGCACGAAAGCGUGGGGAGCAAACAGGAUUAGAUACCCUUGUAGUC